CCCGUACUUCUCUCUCAAUGCCUUGUGCACUUUACUCCCAUCAACAUCUCUAUACCCAAAACUAUUACCAUCGUACCCAACUGGCGCCUGCAGGUCCCCUUUCUCCGUAGACCACCCAAGACGAGUGUGCCCCGUCUCUCCCAAGCUCGCCAGUUUAAUCUCAAAGUACCAAGCGCCUUCACAAACACCUCUGGUAGCUCUCACCAUUCUAUACCCUUUCGUACUUCCAGCACUCAAUCUAUCUUCACUCAACUCUACUUUCUCAGCUUUGUAUACUUUGG
rnacentral:misc_RNA from 1 species